rnacentral:rRNA from 1 species
UACGGAGGGAGCGAGCGUUGUUCGGAAUUACUGGGCGUAAAGCGUGCGCAGGCGGAUUUCCAAGUCAGGAGUGAAAUCCCCGGGCUCAACCCGGGAAUUGCUUUUGAAACUGGAUGUCUUGAGUCUCGGAGAGGUUGGCGGAAUUCCCAGUGUAGCAGUGAAAUGCGUAGAUAUUGGGAGGAACACCAGUGGCGUAAGCGGCCAACUGGACGAGUACUGACGCUCAUGCACGAAAGUGUGGGGAUCAAACAGG